GAUGAACGCUGGCGGCGUGCCUAAUACAUGCAAGUCGAGCGAACAGACGAGGAUCUUGCGCCUCUGACGUGAGCCGCGCACGGGUGUGUCACACGUGUAUAACCCACCUAUAAUACUGGGAUCACUUCGGGAAACCGGCGCUAAUAGCAGAGAAUAUACUGCUCCGCAUGGGUCAAUAGUGAAAGACGGUGUUUGUGUAACUAAUAGCUGGAUCCGCGCCGCAUUAGCUAGUUGGUAAGGUCAAGGCUUACCAAGGCGACGAUGCGUAGCCGACCUGAGGGGGUGGUCGCCGACCUGGGAGGGUAGCCGGGGACCUGACUCCUACGGGAGGCAGCAGUCGGGAAUCUUCCGCAAUGGGGGAGAGCCUUACGGAGCGACGCGGCGUGAGUGAUGACGGCGUCCGGAUCCGGAAACUGUGCUAUUAGUGGAAAACCAAUGUGUAAGUAACUGUGCCGUCAUUGACGGUACCGGGUCAGGAAGCCACGGCUAACUACGUG
rnacentral:rRNA from 1 species